GCAGAGGGUCUGGACGGUUUCCCGCAUCCCGGGGAAAUACGGGCGUCCGAGCCGGUGGCCGAGCUCCGGCAAGGGCGGGAACCUUCAGGAUUAAAUAGACAGGGUCUGGCUCUGUCGCCCAGGCUGGACUGCAGUGGCGCGAUUUCGGCUCACUGCAACUUCUGUCUCCCGGGUUCAAGCAAUUCUCCAGCUUCAGCCUCCCAAGUAUCUAGGACUACAGGCGGACUCUCGCUCUGUCGCCAGGCUUUCUUAGCCUCCUGAGUAGCUUGGACUACAAGCGCGCGCCACCAUGCCCGGCUACUUUCGGUAUUUUAGUAGAGAUGGGGUUUCACCAUGUUGGUCAGGCUGGUCUGGAACUCCUGACCUCGUGAUCCGCCUGCCCCGGCCUCCCAAAGUGCUGGGAUUACAGGCGUGAGCCGCUGCGCCCAGUUGGAAAAAGUUUUGUUUUUUUUAAAAAACUAAGUGCUUCCAUGUACAUCAGAUGUUAACGACCUUGAUCCUAACAAACAAACAAAAAAGAUGAGGAAAUUGAGGCUCAAAGAUGUGUCCUGGCCUGGCUCAGUGGCGUAUGCCUGUAAUCCCAGCAUUUUGGGAGGCUGAGGGGGGAAGAUCACUUGAAGCCAAGAAUUGGAGACCCCAAUCUCUACAAAAAAUAAAAAAUUAGCUGGGUGUGGUGGUGCACACCUGUAGUCCCAGUGAGAGGUGAAGCUAGUUGGACUUCCUGGGUCCAGUGGGGACUUGGACAACUUUUCUGUCUUACAAGAGGUUUGUAAAAAUGCACCAAUCAGUGCUCUGUAGCUAGCAAGAGGUUUGUAAAGUGCACCAAUCAGUGCUCUGUAAAAUGGACCAAUCAGCAGGAUUCUAAAAGCAGCCAAUCGCAGGGAGGAUGGAAAAAGGGGCGUUCUGAUACGACAGAAACGGACAUGGGAGGGGACAAAUAAGAGACUAAAAGCUCCCACCCCAGUCAGCGGAGGCAACCGGCUGGAGUGCUCUGCCAUGCUGUGGAAGGUUUGUUCUUUCGCUCUUCACAAUAAAUCUUGCUGCUACUCA